rnacentral:rRNA from 1 species
AUUGAACGCUGGCGGCAUGCCUUACACAUGCAAGUCGAACGGUAACAGGUUAAGCAGACGAGUGGCGAACGGGUGAGUAAUGUAUCGGAACGUGCCCAGUCGUGGGGGAUAACUGCUCGAAAGAGCAGCUAAUACCGCAUACGACCUGAGGGUGAAAGCGGGGGAUCGCAAGACAUCGCGCGAUUGGAGCGGCCGAUAUCAGAUUAGGUAGUUGGUGGGGUAAAGGCCUACCAAGCCUACGAUCUGUAGCUGGUCUGAGAGGACGACCAGCCACACUGGGACUGAGACACGGCCCAGACUCCUACGGGAGGCAGCAGUGGGGAAUUUUGGACAAUGGACGCAAGUCUGAUCCAGCCAUGCCGCGUGCGGGAAGAAGGCCUUCGGGUUGUAAACCGCUUUUGUCAGGGAAGAAAAGGUUCUGGCUAAUACCUGGGACUCAUGACGGUACCUGAAGAAUAAGCACCGGCUAACUACGUGCCAGCAGCCGCAGUAAUAC